AACGAGAAGAGCCUUACCAAAUCUUGACAUCCUUUGAAAACUCUAGAGAUAGAGCCUUCCCCUUCGGGGGACAAAGUGACAGGUGGUGCAUGGUUGUCGUCAGCUCGUGUCGUGAGAUGUUGGGUUAAGUCCCGCAACGAGCGCAACCCUUAAGCUUAGUUGCCAUCAUUAAGUUGGGCACUCUAGGUUGACUGCCGGUGACAAACCGGAGGAAGGUGGGGAUGACGUCAAAUCAUCAUGCCCCUUAUGAUUUGGGCUACACACGUGCUACAAUGGACAAUACAAAGGGCAGCUAAACCGCGAGGUCAUGCAAAUCCCAUAAAGUUGUUCUCAGUUCGGAA
rnacentral:rRNA from 1 species